rnacentral:rRNA from 1 species
GACGAACGCUGGCGGCGUGCUUAACACAUGCAAGUCGAACGGAAAGGCCCCUUUGGGGGUACUCGAGUGGCGAACGGGUGAGUAACACGUGAGUAACCUGCCCUUGACUUCGGGAUAACUUCAGGAAACUGGGGCUAAUACCGGAUAGGAAUCCUUGCUGCAUGAUGGGGGUUGGAAAGCUUCGGCGGUUUUGGAUGGACUCGCGGCUUAUCAGCUUGUUGGUGGGGUAGUGGCUUACCAAGGCUUUGACGGGUAGCCGGCCUGAGAGGGCGACCGGCCACAUUUGGACUGAGAUACGGCCCAGACUCCUACGGGAGGCAGCAGUGGGGAAUAUUGCACAAUGGGCGGAAGCCUGAUGCAGCAACGCCGCGUGCGGGAUGACGGCCUUCGGGUUGGAAACCGCUUUCAGCAGGGGCGAAGCUUGUGGUGACGGUACCUGCAGAAGAAGCACCGGCUAACUACGUG